CAGGCAGGAAGUGAUGCUAGGGAGCAAGCCACAGACACUGCAAGUAGCAAAGGCCAACAUUAGGUGUGGCAGUCAAGGAAGUCCCCUCGAGCUAUGGAGACUGAGCUGACAUCUCUAUGAGAAGAAAGCAGCAGCCAGCAAAAUGGUAGGGGGACACAUUCCAGGCAGAGGGGAUGGAGAAGCAGAGGCCCUGAAAAAAAUGGUCAGAAACUUGAAGCCGUCUUGGACCACAUCCAUCCUGAGAUCACAAUCUGAUCUGGUUAACUGGUAGAGAUGAACCUAUGGACUUCAAUCUCAGUCUUGCCAUUAGCUUGCUGUGACUCAUCGCCAAGUCCCUGGGCAGAUUGGAGCCUCUGGAGCUGUGUGGAUCCAGAUACGUCACUCAUUCCAGGGCCAGUGGUUUCUUGGAUCUCAUCUCAUCUCUCUGGAUAGAAACCUGCCCAGCACUUACCAUUUGUCAGUCUAUUUUGCAGAUAAGAAACUGAGUCACAGAGUAAUAAAUCAUUCACCUGAAGCGACCUGAAGUGUACUUUAGGAGGCAAAUCCCAGACUUGAACCAGACUAAGAAUACGUUGUGGCACCCGGGUUUAUGGGACGAGCGCUGAGGCUGGAGUCAAUCAGGUCUGUUUGCAGAAGAGCCCGAGACUGACUCACUGACCAAAAGUUCCAGAGGCGUGGGGAAGGGGCAGGGAGAGAGACAGAGGUCCACCAUGCUGCUUGUAGCCUGGGGCUGGUGGCUGUCAGCUCAAAGGAGACAUACUCCUUGGAAAUAACCACCAUCCCAACAUACCCAGCGCUGCCAGGCAGAGCAGGCACAACCAAAAAGGUUUUUCUGUGAGAGAUAAUGGAGUCACUGGCAAUGGAUACCAAGUGCUUCCAGGGAGGCAGUGAAGGAAGAGAUGCAGGGAAAUCUGUCUGAGCCCUGGCCCAGGCUGCGACUUCUGCCCCAGAUGCCUCCCCACCCUGAGGAACCCGGCCACCAGCAACAGAGUCACUGUCCCUUCCCCAGCCUCGGAGGGAAGCAGCCUGGGAUCCUCCCAGAAAGAGCUGUGAGCACUCCAUGUACGCAUGCAACACACGCUCAUCACACUCACGCCACAGACACACCGCCCACAUAUCACUCAUGAGCACACAUCACAUUCAUACUAUAUACACUGCACACACACACACACACACACACACACACAUACACAUCACACACACACACACACUACUCACAUCACUCUCACACUCCAUACCCACAUACACGAUACACUUAAACCACACUUAUAGCCACCUUCAUCAAAAAAGCCCUAAUGUUUCAAAGACACAAAACGAAGCACCUAGGAAUGGAUCCUAGGGUACUAUCCCAAACUUACACACUCCAGAAUAAAGAGAAAACUCAAACUUCACAGUGCCUCCCACGCCUUUUUAUUCUGAGGCCUUCUGGCUGCUUUAUCCCACCUAGAGUCUAGCCUAAUUCCAUGUUCCGGGUUGCUGCACAGGCAGCGUGUACCACUCUGUUCUAACAUCUCUCGGCACAGAC